rnacentral:rRNA from 1 species
GAUGAACGCUGGCGGCGUGCCUAAUACAUGCAAGUCGAACGCGCGGAUCAGGAGCUUGCUCCUGUGACGCGAGUGGCGGACGGGUGAGUAACACGUAGGCAACCUGCCCAUCAGACCGGGAUAACCACGGGAAACCGUGGCUAAUACCGGAUAACCCUUUCCCACACAGGUGGGAAAGUUGAAGGGCGGUAUUUUGGCUGUCACUGAUGGAUGGGCCUGCGGCGCAUUAGCUUGUUGGGGGGGUAACGGCCCACCAAGGCGACGAUGCGUAGCAGACCUGAGAGGGCGAUCGGCCACACUGGGACUGAGACACGGCCCAGACUCCUACGGGAGGCAGCAGUAGGGAAUCUUCCGCAAUGGACGAAAGUCUGACGGAGCAACGCCGCGUGAGUGAAGAAGGGUUUCGGCGCGUAAAACUCUGUUGUCAGGGAAGAACGCCGACGGGGGUAACUGCCCGUCGGGUGACGGUACCUGACCAGAAAGCCACGGCUAACUACGUGCCAGCCGCCGCAGUAA